GAAUGCUGACAUAAGUAACGAUAAAGCGGGUGAAAAGCCCGCUCGCCGGAAGACCAAGGGUUCCUGUCCAACGUUAAUCGGGGCAGGGUGAGUCGACCCCUAAGGCGAGGCCGAAAGGCGUAGUCGAUGGGAAACGGGUUAAUAUUCCCGUACUUGGUGUUACUGCGAAGGGGGGACGGAGAAGGCUAUGUUGGCCGGGCGACGGUUGUCCCGGUUUAAGCGUGUAGGUGUGUGUUCCAGGUAAAUCCGGUUCACUUUAACACUGAGGCGUGAUGACGAGGCACUACGGUGCUGAAGUAACAAAUGCCCUGCUUCCAGGAAAAGCCUCUAAGCAUCAGGUAACAUCAAAUCGUACCCCAAACCGACACAGGUGGUCAGGUAGAGAAUACCAAGGCGCUUGAGAGAACUCGGGUGAAGGAACUAGGCAAAAUGGUGCCGUAACUUCGGGAGAAGGCACGCUGACACGUAGGUGAAGUGAUUUACUCACGGAGCUGAAGUCAGUCGAAGAUACCAGCUGGCUGC
rnacentral:rRNA from 1 species